CAAUUCUACUGCCAGCUAGUGUUGUCAUAGCUUCUGUAUGAUCAAAUUGAUUUGGACUCUACCAGCUCCAGUAUCUUCUUCCCGAGCUUGGAGAAGUUUAGAAACUGGCAGAUACUUUGCUUUAGCUUCUGAAGGAGGACAGGCAGCAAAUUGGCACGAGCACAGUGUCACUCCAAUGGAUUCCCUGGCACCACAGUGCUGGUGCUGACAGUGGUGCUGCAGGCUGUGUUGAUGAUCCCAACCUAAUCAAUGCAACAAGUACCACCUCAGGAUGCUUCACUUCAGACUGUGUCCAGAGACCUCAGGUGUGGAAUGACAACCCUUCAGCUUCAUUACUCCACCACCAGGUUCCAGAUGCUAGCAUGAUGCUGACCAGACUUCCCUGGACAGAUGAUCCCACCAGUGUGUCCUGCAGCUCCGCUUCCCAAGAGCCCUUCCCCACUAGGAAAGAUGGAGGCAGGCUGAGAGUAUGGAUCGACCAGUCAAUGCCCAUGUUCAGUAGGGAAGCAAUUACAGAAGCCAGACCUUCAACCUUCUGCAUCCCACAAUGACUUUGGGUCCAUACUCCCAGAGGGAUAAAAAAUAGGAAAGCUAUCAGGGGGAGGGGAUGAGAUACAGAUAUCUGGUAGUGGGGAUUGUGUGGAGUUGUAUCCCUCUUAUCCUAUGGUUUUGUUAAUGUCUCCUUUUUUAAAUAACUAAAAUUUAAAAUAAAGUAAAAAGUCUGG